UACAGAGGGGGCAAGCGUUAUUCGGAAUUAUUGGGCGUAAAGGGCGCGUAGGCGGCCAACUAAGUCAGACGUGAAAUCCCUCGGCUUAACCGGGGAACUGCGUCUGAUACUGGAUGGCUUGAGAUUGGGAGAGGGAUGCGGAAUUCCAGGUGUAGCGGUGAAAUGCGUAGAUAUCUGGAGGAACACCGGUGGCGAAGGCGGCAUCCUGGACCAACACUGACGCUGAUGAGCGAAAGCCAGGGGAGCAAACGGG
rnacentral:rRNA from 1 species